CAUCGCUCUUUGUAAAGAAUCUUAAGCAUAAGGAGUCCUGCCUGCCCGGUGACUAUUUUAGUUAAACGGCCGCGGUAUCUUGACCGUGCGAAGGUAGCAUAAUCAUUUGCCUUUUAAAUUGGGGCUGGAAUGAAUGGCAAGACGGGAAUUAAGCUGUCUCUCUCUUAUAAUUUGAAAUUUAUAUUUUUGUGAAGAAGCGGAAAUAUGGUCGUAGGACGAGAAGACCCUAUCGAGCUUUAAUAUAGGAAAAUGUAAUAAAUUUUUUAUUGUUUUAUGCUAAUUAGAGAUUACUAAUUUCUUGUAUAAUUACUAUAAGUACAGUAAUGUUGUACAUGUUUUAUUUGGAUUGGGGCAAUCACGGAGAAUAACCACCCUCCGUUAUUUUUUUUAAAAAAAAUCUUUUUAUGUUUGAGUAUUUCAAUUGAAGUGAUCCACCAAAGAAGGUGAUAAUAAGAAUAAGUUACCGUAGGGAUAACAGCGUAAUUUUUUUGGAGAGUUCAUAUUGAUAAAAAAGUUUGCGACCUCGAUGUUGGAUCGGGAUUUCCUGGGGAUGCAGCAGUUCCUAAUGGUUGGUCUGUUC
rnacentral:rRNA from 1 species